rnacentral:rRNA from 1 species
UACGGAAGGGGCAAGCGUUGUCCGGAAUCAUUGGGCGUAAAGAGCGCGUAGGCGGCCCGAUAAGUCCGCUGUGAAAGUCAAGGGCUCAACCCUUGAAUGCCGGUGGAUACUGUCGGGCUAGAGUCCGGAAGAGGCGAGUGGAAUUCUUGGUGUAGCGGUGAAAUGCGUAGAUAUCAAGAGGAACACCUGCGGCGAAGGCGGGUUGCUGGGCCGACACUGACGCUGAGGCGCGAAAGCGUGGGGAGCAAACAGG